UGAGGAAUAUUGGGCAAUGGGCGCAAGCCUGACCCAGCAACGCCGCGUGAAGGAUGAAGGCCCUUGGGUUGUAAACUUCUUUUGCAGGGGAAGAGAGCGGACGGUACCCUGAGAAUAAGUCACGGCUAACUACGUGCCAGCAGCCGCGGUAAUACGUAGGUGACAAGCGUUAUCCGGAAUUACUGGGCGUAAAGCGCACGCAGGCGGCCGAGAAAGUCUGACGUGAAAUCUCCCGGCUUAACCGGGAGCGGUCGUUGGAAACUACUUGGCUUGAGGCGAUGAGAGGGGUGUGGAAUUCCCGGUGUAGUGGUGGAAUGCGUAGAUAUCGGGAGGAACAUCAGUGGCGAAAGCGGCACCCUGGCAUUGGCCUGACGCUCAGGUGCGAAAGCGUGGGGAGCGAACGG
rnacentral:rRNA from 1 species